rnacentral:pre_miRNA from 1 species
UGUGUAAUUGCUGGGUCAUAUAGUAAUUCUAUGUUUACCUUUUUCAAAGAAAUGCCAAAUUGUUUUCCACAGUGGCUUCACCAUUUUACGCUCACACCAGCAAU